CCAAUUUAUAACAAACAAACAGACUUGGAUUGGAAACCUUUUUUGAGUUUUAUUUCUGCCCAACACUGCUUUUCUAUCCAGUACUGAAAUAAAACACAACAAUAAAUUUAUCUAAACAGUGUUAACAACCACAUGCAUACAUAACUUUUGUAAAUAUUUUCGAAACUUAUAUAAAACGCUAUGUUCACGACCGUCUGUGUAUAACUUUAUGUCAUGACUACAAACGUCUAUACCAGGAUGUGGGAGUCUAUGAAAUGACCAUCAAAUAUUUUGAGCCUCAGUUAAUUGUUAUUGUCUAAAAUGUUGGUGUCACAUAAUGGAAUAUCAUAACUUCAGAGAGUCAGUUUUCAAAGCCCAGCUUCGUCUUAAAUAUGUUGCUAACAAACCCGACGAAAUUGUGGUAAAAUCAGAGAUGCUCGAAAUUGAUGACUACACAAUAAUGAGAACCAAGACAAAUAUUCCCAAGAAUACUGCUAAGAAGAGGCUACGAGUUCUACGAAAAUGCAAUCAACCAAAUGACCUCCCAGUCUCCGAAAAAGUUGCCAAUCCAAAUAGAAAAUUUUUCAAAUUAACCGCCGCAAAAAGUACGAUGAACUCAUAGCCCAAUCUAGGCAAACUUUAAAAUGUGAAAUCUGUCCCAAGAUUCGUUCGUCUUUUACAAUAUUAAAGCUUCAUUUUCGGGUUGAACAUCCCGAUGAUAAAUUCUCUAUAGCUUGCUGUGAACGGAUGUUCUAUCUGCGUUCCCGUCUGGAAGAACACCUUCGAUUGCACAGUAACGAUCCGUUUAGGUGUCAUAAAUGCAAUAAAUGUUUAGCACCAGAUCGAAAAUCAAGCAAUACUAAAUCUACUGAUAACUCUGAAGAGACUCGUCGAUGUUCUUACAAUAAUACCACCAUUUCGGAAACAGAGCAUAGCCUUAGUAACAAUGAGAACAGUUUGGAUGACCAUGUGACAACGCGCUCUGGAGAUGAUGAACAUGAACGCCCUCAUUGCCCAAAUACUUUAAAAAAUAAUCCUGCUAAAAAAAGAUGCCUAGAAAAGGAGAAAGACCACAAAUCUUUUGAACAAACAACAAAUAUAAAACAAGAAAGAGAAGAA